rnacentral:rRNA from 1 species
CCUACGGGAGGCAGCAGUGGGGGAUAUUGGGCAAUGGGCGCAACCCUGAACCAGCAACGCCGCGUGAAGGAAGACGGUUUUCGGGUUGUAAACCUCUUUCCUCUGUGAAGAUUAUAACGGUGUAAGAGAAGAAAAAUCCGGCUAACUACGUGCCAGCAGCCGCGGUAAUACGUAGGGGGCGAGCGUUGUCCGGAUUUACUGGGUGUAAAGGGUGCGUAGGCGGGCUUGCAAGUCAGAAGUGAAAUCCAUGGGCUUAACCCGUGAACUGCUUUUGAAACUGCAGGACUUGAGUGGAGUAGAGGUAGGCGGAAUUCCUGGUGUAGCGGUGAAAUGCGUAGAGAUCGGGAGGAACACCAGUGGCGAAGGCGGUCUACUGGGCUUUAACUGACGCUGAAGCACGAAAGCGUGGGUAGCAAACAGGAUUAGAUACCCUUGUAGUC